CCAAAAACCUAGCCCCCCCCCCCCACCUUAACAUUUUUUAUAAUCUAAAAUAUUUUACUUUUAUAGUACAGACGAUCAAAAAAUUAAUUGGAGCAAUAAAUUUGUACCGCAAGGGAAAGAUGAAAUAAAAAUGAAACAAACUUAAGCACAAAAAAGUAAAGAUUAACCCUUGUACCUUUUGCAUCAUGGUUUAACUAGUUUAAUUAGGCAAAAAGACCUAUAGUCUAAUCCCCCGAAACUAAGUGAGCUACUUCAGGACAGCUUAACGAGCAAACCCGUCUCUGUUGCAAAAGAGUGGGAAGAUCUUAAAGUAGAGAUGAUAUAUCUAACGAACUUAGUGAUAGCUGGUUAUUCAGGAAAAGAAUUUUAGUUCAACCUAAAGUUAUUUCAAUUUAUACUAAAUACAAAAUUGACUUUAGAGCUAUUCAAAUAAGUCACAGCCUAUUUGAAACAGGAUACAGCCUUCACUUAUGGGUAAUACAACCCAACAUAAUCAAGUAGGCCUAAAAGCAGCCACCUUUAAAAAAGCGUUAAAGCUUCAUUAUUUAUAAUAAACAAUCAUUUAAAUUUUUAAAAACCCUAUUUUAGUACCGAAUGAUCCUAUAAUUUUAUAGGACCCUCUAUGUUAAAACUAGUAACAAGAAGUUAACUUCUCUUAUUAUGCAAGUGUAAGUCAAAAUGAAAAAUUCACUGACACUUAACAUUUUUAAACUAAAGUUCCACCACACCUAGAAAAUCUCACUUUAACAACUGUUAAUCUUACACAAGAGCAUUAAAAGAAAGAUUAUAAGAAAAAGAAGGAACUCGGCAAACCCAGAUUCCGCCUGUUUACCAAAAACAUCGCCCCCUGCUAGCCCAUAGGGGGUCCAGCCUGCCCAGUGACCCAAUUUAACGGCCGCGGUAUCCUAACCGUGCGAAGGUAGCGUAAUCACCUGUUUUUUAAUUGAAGACCAGUAUGAAUGGCACCACGAGAAUCACACUGUCUCCCUUUUCUAAUCAGUAAAACUAAUCUUCCCGUGAAAAAGCGGGAAUAAUCCUACAAGACGAGAAGACCCUUUGAAGCUUAAGACAAAGUAAAAUUAUGCUUAAUAUAUUAAAAAUUUUCUUAUAGUAUUUAUUUACAAGUCUUUGGUUGGGGCAACCGCGGAGCAAAAAAAAACCUCCAAGUUGAACGGAACUUUCCUAAACAAAAAGCCACAACUUUAUGUAUUAACAAAUUAACAAUUGACCCAUUAUUUUGAUUAACGAAACAAGUUACUCUAGGGAUAACAGCGCAAUCCACUUCAAGAGUUCUUAUCGACAAGUGGGCUUACGACCUCGAUGUUGGAUCAAGGUAUCCCAGUGGUGCAGCCGCUACUAAAGGUUCGUUUGUUCAACGAUUAAAACCUUACGUGAUCUGAGUUCAGACCGGAGAAAUCCAGGUCAGUUUCUAUCUGUAAUUAAGAGCUCUUCCCAGUACGAAAGGACAGGAAUAGUAUGGCCAAUAAAAUAUUUAUGCCAUCCCAAUACAACUUAUGAAAAUACUUAAUAAGAUUACAUCUUAAACCCUCCU
rnacentral:rRNA from 1 species